CUUGAUAAUAUAACCGGUAUGUUUCUACUGGAAGCAGUGGUGGCUGCUCCAAUGCAGAAGGGGUGUCAUGAGUUGUGGGAUGGAUUGAGAGCUAAUAUUGCCAGUAAUACUCUAAUAUAGAGCAUUACUGGCAAUGAAUUUAGAAGUGGUGAGAGCAUUGCCAGGUAAAGUAAAUAAAGAUUGGUCAGAGGAACAAUUGUUAGAAAUUUAUCUAGUACCUGUACAGGGCACCAGUUGUUGCCGGGAGGGUAAUAGGGGAUCUUUACCAGAUGAUUUUUUUGGUGUGGUUUUAGU